rnacentral:rRNA from 1 species
GACGAACGCUGGCGGCGUGCCUAAUACAUGCAAGUAGAACGCUGAAGAGAGGAGCUUGCUCUUCUUGGAUGAGUUGCGAACGGGUGAGUAACGCGUAGGUAACCUGCCUUGUAGCGGGGGAUAACUAUUGGAAACGAUAGCUAAUACCGCAUAACAAUGGAUGACACAUGUCAUUUAUUUGAAAGGGGCAAUUGCUCCACUACAAGAUGGACCUGCGUUGUAUUAGCUAGUAGGUGAGGUAAUGGCUCACCUAGGCGACGAUACAUAGCCCACCUGAGAGGGGGGUAGCCGACCUGGGAAGGUGACCAGGCACAGUAGUACUAGGGCAGGAACCAGACGGCAACGUUAGGCAGUGGGGCGACACUGACCGAGCAACGCCGCGUGAGUGAAGAGGGUUUUCGGAUCGUAAAGCUCUGUUGUAAGUCAAGAACGGGUGUGAGGGUGGAAAGUUCACACUGUGACGGUAGCUUACCAGAAAGGGACGGCUAACUACGUG